rnacentral:rRNA from 1 species
GGAGUUAGCCGGUGCUUCUUCUGCGAGUAACGUCACAGAUGUAAGGUAUUAACUUACACCCUUUCCUCCUCGCUGAAAGUGCUUUACAACCCGAAGGCCUUCUUCACACACGCGGCAUGGCUGCAUCAGGGUUUCCCCCAUUGUGCAAUAUUCCCCACUGCUGCCUCCCGUAGGAGUCUGGGCCGUGUCUCAGUCCCAGUGUGGCUGAUCAUCCUCUCAGACCAGCUAGGGAUCGUCGCCUAGGUGAGCCUUUACCUCACCUACUAGCUAAUCCCACCUGGGCUUAUCCAUCAGCGCAAGGCCCGAAGGUCCCCUGCUUUCCCCCGUAGGGCGUAUGCGGUAUUAGCAGUCGUUUCCAACUGUUAUCCCCCACAAAUGGGCAAAUUCCCAGGCAUUACUCACCCGUCCGCCGCUCGUCAUCUUCAAAGCAAGCUUUUGAAAUGUUACCGCUCGACUUGCAUGUGUUAGGCCUGCCGCCAGCGUUCAAUCUGAGCCAGAAUCGAAACCUGA